rnacentral:rRNA from 1 species
GUCCUAGUAACGGCGAGUGAAGCGGCAAUAGCUCAAAUUUAAAAUCUGGCUCUCGAGUCCGAGUUGUAAUUUGUAGAGGAUGCUUUUGGCAUGGUACCUUCCGAGUUCCCUGGAACGGGACGCCAUAGAGGGUGAGAGCCCCGUCUAGUUGGAUAUCUAGCCUCUGUAAAGCUCCUUCGACGAGUCGAGUAGUUUGGGAAUGCUGCUCAAAGUGGGAGGUAUAUGUCUUCUAAAGCUAAAUACUGGCCAGAGACCGAUAGCGCACAAGUAGAGUGAUCGAAAGAUGAAAAGCACUUUGAAAAGAGGGUUAAAUAGUACGUGAAAUUGCUAAAAGGGAAGCGCUUAUAACUAGACGUGGAGAUUACCAAUCACCUAGUUUUUUACUGGGGUACUUGGAUUCCUAGGCUAGCAUCGGUUCCGCGAGAGAUAAAGACGCCUGGAACGUAGCCCCUCGGGGGUGUUAUAGCCUGGCGUGUAAUGUCUUGUUGCGGACCGAGGUCUGCGCAGCAAUGAUGCUGGCAUAAUGGUUAUUAGUGACCCGUCUUGAAACACGGACCAAGGAGUCGUCCUCGUAUGCGAGUGUUUGGGUGUCAAACCCGUGCGCAAAAUGAAAGUAAACGUAGGUGAGAGCCCUGGUGCAUCACCGACCGAUCCUGAUGUUCUCGGAUGGAUUUGAGUAAGAGCAUACGGGGCCGGACCCGAAAGAAGGUGAACUAUGCCUGCGUAGGGUGAAGCCAGAGGAAACUCUGGUGGAGGCUCGCAGCGGUUCUGACGUGCAAAUCGAUCGUCAAACGUGGGCAUGGGGGCGAAAGACUAAU